AGGACGAACGCUGGCGGCGUGCUUAACACAUGCAAGUCGAGCGGAAAGGCCCUUCGGGGUACUCGAGCGGCGAACGGGUGAGUAACACGUGAGUAAUCUGCCCCUAGCUCUGGGAUAGCUCCGGGAAACCGGGAUUAAUACCAGAUACGACCACUUUAGACAUCUGCUGUGGUGGAAAGAAUUUCGGCUAGGGAUGAGCUCGCGGCCUAUCAGCUUGUUGGUGAGGUAACGGCUCACCAAGGCGACGACGGGUAGCU
rnacentral:rRNA from 1 species